rnacentral:SRP_RNA from 1 species
UGUGCGGAUGUGCCCCGGCAGCCGAGUUGGCUCGGUGGGCGUAGCCGAGGACUGGGAGUACCACUUGGCUGAGGUCGGCGACAAGUACCUGAGGCCCCGCGAGGCUGGUCUCACACAGA